GGAGAACGCUGGCGGCGUGCCUAAUACAUGUAAGUCGAGCGGAGUUAGUUUGUAGCUUGCUACAAAAUAACUUAGCGGCGGACGGGUGAGUAACGCGUGGAAAACCUGCCUUAUUCAGGGGGAUAAUAAAGGGAAAGAUGUGCUAAUACCGCAUAACAUAUAGUAGUGGCAUCACUAUUAUAUCAAAGGAGCAAAUCGGUAGAAGAUGGAUCCGCGUACGAUUAGCUAGUUGGCAGGGUAAAGGCACACCAAGGCGACGAUCGGUAGCCGAACUGAGAGGUUGAGCGGCCACAUUGGGACUGAGACACGGCCCAGACUCCUACGGGAGGCAACAGUGGGGAAUAUUGCGCAAUGGGGGAAACCCUGACGCAGCAACGCCGCGUGAAGGAUGAAGGCUUUCGGGUUGUAAACUUCUUUAGUCGGGGACGAAAAAAUGACGGUACCCGAAGAAUAAGCCACGGCUAACUACGUGCCAGCCGCCGCGGUAA
rnacentral:rRNA from 1 species